AUAAAGGGAUAUAAUUACUAUUUAAUAUGGUAUAUGAUUAUAUUAUAGUAACAUAAGGUAUACAUAGAUAUUAUUAUAAAUUAGUAUUC
rnacentral:rRNA from 1 species